AAUAAGAGAUUUUGAGUUUUUACUUGCAACGUUUGACCACUUGUCUUAUUCAAAUUUUUUUAAAUUGUUAUUUAUUUUAUUUGUGACUUACAGUACUUUAAGCACAACUUUUCGUUUUUUAUAUUUGCAAAACAAAAUUAAAUAAGACGAAUGGUCAAACGUUGCAAGCAAAAACUUAAAAUUCCUUAUAUU
rnacentral:pre_miRNA from 1 species